rnacentral:rRNA from 1 species
UACGUAGGGUGCGAGCGUUAAUCGGAAUUACUGGGCGUAAAGCGUGCGCAGGCGGUUUUGUAAGCCGGGUGUGAAACCUCCAGGCUCAACCUGGAGUCGCCAUCCGAUACUGCUAUGGCUAGAGUCCGGUAGGGGCCCACGGAAUUCCUGGUGUAGCGGUGAAAUGCGCAGAUAUCAGGAGGAACACCGGUGGCGAAGGCGGGUCUCUGGGCCGCUACUGACGCUGAGGAGCGAAAGCGUGGGGAGCGAACAGG